UGCUCCUGAAAUGAGGGAGAAGACGAUGGGUUCCAUGGGUGAUGGGGAACAAGGAAAGUUGCCUCCUAUCCUUGAUCUCCAAGGAUCCAGGAUAGCUUGGAAGAGAAUGGGGUACCAUCCCUUGGGAGCAUGCUUGUUGGGUCUAAAAUGAGGCCUCUCAAGAUGGUGACUUGGAGGUUAGGGCACCAGGCCCUUGGAAAGGGAUAGCCCAUGUUGUCCCCAGCAGAGAGAAAUAUCACGCAGCUCCAAGCCACAGCCUGGCUGGAGCACUUUCCAUAGUUUACAGAGGACUCUGGGGAACUGAGUCCUGCCCAGACCCUACUUUGGACACUGACCCAAUAUCCUACCCACUUCACGUUUGUUCUCCACAUCUGGUGGGGUCAGCAGCAUUGGGUGGUACGGAAAGAGAGCCAGUGUGAUUUCUAUGGAACAAUCUUUACAUGGAUGUUGCCUCCUAGUGGCAUGAAGUCCUCUGUGCCCACUUAAAAAGGCAACAAUCAUAAUAUGGCCCCCACUAUUUCAAAGCUGCAUAUGAAAGCGAUGCUAUUUUACUGUUUAUAUUAAAAGAAAACUUUCCCUCCAUUUGACACAGUGAUCUUCACAAAUCCUGAAAUAAGAGUAGAAGAUAAUAAUAAACUACAGCUAAAGGGUAUUGGGCCAUUGCAUUCACGGCAGUAAUCCUAUGAGGGAUAUAUUGUUUGUGUUUCCUUUUAACAGGUGAGGAAACCGAGAACUCGAGUGACUGGCCCAGAGCUUCACAGUGGCUAAGUGGUGGGCCCUGGGUUGGAACCCAGACUUUCUGGCUCCAGAAUCUUCAUCUCUCCCUCCCACAUCACCCUGCAGCUGAGUCUUGCUGGGUCGCCCAGGCUGGAGUGCAGUGGCACAAUCUCAGCUCAUGAGAAACCUCCGCCUCCUGAGUUCAAGUAAUUCUUCUGACUCAGCCUCCCAAGUAACUGGGACUAUAGAUCUGCUCCUCCUGCCAAGCUGAACCCAAGACCAGCACCUUCCUCCUUAUGUAAGAUGGUGACGUGGAUGCUGUCUAACUGCUGCAGAAGGAAAUACACACAUACAUUCAAAAACAUUUUACUGCAGGAGAAUGAGCAAUUUAACAUCAGACUGAUGUGUCAUCUCAAACCCUGGCUUGGCCAGCCUCCAAGUUACGUCACCUCCUCAAACUUCAGAGUCGGUCUCUCUCUCCUCUGCGCGCACGUGCGCGUGCACAUACACGCGCGCGCUCUCACGCGCGCACACACAUGCGCGCUCUCUCUCUUUGUCUCUCUCCUGCAGUACUUCCUAGCCUAGAUGGGGGAGCCAGGACAGUCAGAGAUUCCAUUCCAGUCUAGAGCAGAGGUCACAAACUCAGAUGCCUGUAGGAGUCAGGCAGGUCACUAAAGUGAGCAAAAUGGGCAGACGUGAGUGACGGAAACUGCAGAGAGCUGAGUACAUCUGCUCAAAGGGUCAGCUCUAUGUAGGAAUACAGACACAGCACCACCAGAUCACUUUCCCAAAAAGUCCAGGUUUCAAUUCAGGUUUUAUAAUAUCUAGAAUUCAAUAUUUUUUUAAUUGAUGUGCAGAUCAAAUAAAAUACACCUACAGGCUCUUGGGCCACCUGUUUGUACCUUGGCACUAAGGAGUAAAUUUAUGUCAAAGAA